UGGGCAUCGGACAGCAGGCUUCACUUUCCUGUUUCUCUCUCCCAUCCCAGAGAAGGAGGAGGGGAGACUAAUACACUCGGUUAUACAAGGAAUGCAAAUAUCUGCGGUACCUGUUGACCCAGCACCAGGGAAAGAGAAAACCCACUCCCUGAUGAUGAUAAAAACAAACAAAGAUCCAAAAUUGGUAUCAGUUGGUAUCAAUUUGGCAAGUAUUGACUUGAUUAGAAAGGAUAACACGAAUCAAUGCCAUGAAAAAGGAGAUGGGGGAUUGUGAGAUAUGUUCGUCUGAUUCGUGUCAGUAUGGAACAAUGCUAGGGCCGCAUGGUAUGAUGAACGUGACCUUCUGUCUUACAUACCCUUGUAUAACCACAAG